UGGGGGAUAUUGCACAAUGGGCGAAAGCCUGAUGCAGCGACGCCGCGUGGGGGAUGAAGGCUUUCGGGUUGUAAACCUCUUUCGCUAUCGAACAAGGCCCGCUUAGGGUGGGUUGAGGGUAGGUGGAGAAGAAGCGCCGGCUAACUACGUGCCAGCAGCCGCGGUAAUACGUAGGGCGCGAGCGUUGUCCGGAAUUAUUGGGCGUAAAGGGCUUGUAGGCGGCUUGUUGCGCCUGCUGUGAAAACGCGGGGCGUGACUUCGCGCUUGCAGUGGGUACGGGCAGGCUUGAGUGUGGUAGGGGUGACUGGAAUUCCAGGUGUAGCGGUGGAAUGCGAAGAUAUCUAGAGGGACACCGAUGGCGAAGGCAGGUCACUGGGCCAUUACUGACGCUGAGGAGCGAAAGCAUGGGUAGCGAAGAGG
rnacentral:rRNA from 1 species